GUCACAAGACAAGGAUAAUGACAAAUCCAAACUCAUAUGGACUGAACUCAAUCUUAAUUUCUUGCCACCUGGCAGCUCAAGGGCCUGCCAUUGCUUCCAAGUUGUUGUGCAACAAAUUGAGAACUCUAAGAACUCAUAUGCAAAGCCAACUUUAACUGGAAUGGGCACAGAAUAUGUCAACACGAUAGGUUAUAAACCUCAAGUCGUGUGCUAGUGAAGAACUUCAGGUUUUAUUCUUGAUUAGUUCUUGAGACUUUCAAGACCUUUAAGACUCCCACUGUCCUCUUGACAUAUAAGACUCCCUUGUCAAAUAUCCAAGAGAUAGUGUGGAUUCUAAUCAAGACAAACACUUCACACAAUUGGCCUAAGUUGGUCUUUGUUUUAUCCAAAACAUCACAACUUACCAAUUUCAAAUGUACAAGAGUAGAAAACUUUUACUCUUACAUUUGACAAGUGUUUUAAACCCUUUUUUUUAGACAUGUUACUCAAGUUACAAUCUUGGAAUAUGACUCUAAGACUUGUAUUGGAACGAAAUAUGACUCAUCUUCUUGAUUUAGCCACUUCACCAAUUCAUAGUUCCUCUUCUUAGCUAUCAGAAUGCACUUAGAGGAUGAAUUGUGAUUAGGUCUCUAAAUCAUUAAGAUGAUCAUAAAAGCUGAUACUAAAGUACUCUCCCAUCUUUUCAGAUUUGAGAAACUUUUAUCCUUCUGCCUAAUUUGAUUCUUCUUAUUCGCUCUGCCUUACAUUGAAACCUUUUCCAAUGUCUCAGAAUUACACUUAAUCUUGUAAGUAUAACCAUAUUUACUGAGCUUUAGUAAACUAUGACGAAUAGUCUUAUCAAUCUUUUGUGGUGGACUAAAUCAGUGCACAAGAAUGUGUACUCGAUCCCUUAGUCAACCAUGGUCUAUCAUGGCCACUCGAUCCAACUCCUAAAUUGAAUCUCUUCGUAACCACCAUACUGAAAAUAAACCAGAAAAUACCAGAAAAUAUCAGAUGAGGUGCAUUUUAUACCAUACUGAAAAUAAAUUGAAUCUCUUCGUAACCACCAUACAACUAUGUUGAAUGUACUGUCGAGCCAUAGCCGCUGAACAAAAACCUGAUCCAAUCCUAGUACCCUCUCCAUAGAUGACCAGUUAUCCCCCACUUGGGAUUCGAACUAUCACUCGCUGACCCUCACAGUUAAUCAUAGCACCAAAUCUGCUUAGCCAGUAUAUCCUAUUAUCAUGCAUACAUCCUGUUGGGUUUUGAGCAUUCUAACACUCCUAUGGUGUACAUGAAAGCCUAGAAACCUUGGAUCUAUGUUUUAUCUAUGAUACAUGCAAAAUUAAUUUUCCAAGGUUCUUAACCUAUCUAGCAUACAAGGGAAGUUUUAAUCAUAAAAGAUAGUAAGAAAACAUACCUUGUAGUGAUUUGGAUUCCUUGAAAACCUUGUGAGCCUAGCACCCCAAGUGUGAUGCCUCGAAUGUCUCACACAACACCAAAUGCACUUGGAAUAACCCUUUGAGAAAAAUGGCACACUACUAAAAUCGAAUAUGCCCUCUUGUUCACACACUAGUACCGAAUUUGGUCUACAACAUAUUGCUUAUAUAGUGUGUCAUGAUUAAGGUUUCACCAUGUAAACCCUAAUUUGACAUGGCUCUUCAUUUCCAUGAUCCAUGGGUUCUAUAAACACCAUGGAGCAUCCUAUGGGUUUUAGCCCAACUUGAUAAUCCAUGGAGCAUUAGCCCACUAUACAAGUAUGGAUGAUUUACACAAUCAACCCAUAUAUUUAAUUAGUCUUCUUUUGAUCACUUAAUUACUUCCAAAUUAAUUCUUGAUCAAUACUAAUUAAAUAAUCCUAUUAAUAUAUUAGAACGUAUAAUAUAUUAAUAAACCAUAAGUGUUAUUUCUCUCAUUUUAGUCUAUCCAAAUGCAUGAUGCCAUGCAACCCAAAUGGACCAUGCUGAUCGGGUCAAGUACAUCCCAGGAUAGUUAUGAACUUAGACACCUAAUUCAACAGUCUCCCACUUGGAUAAGUCUAAUAACUAUAUCUGCAAGAAUAACUUCAGGAACCGAUCAGCAAUCGUAACUCUUUCAAGGUCUUGCGAAACUGAGGUGACGAUGAUAUUCCAUUUAAGAUAAGUGAUCAUAUAAUCCUUUGUUCUAGAUAUUAGUCGGACAAAUACAUGGAAUAAUGUCUUACUUAUUGUCCAAUAGUUUGUUUGCCGAUUUCUGAUUUGUUUGACAUAGAACUUAAGUGAACAGAUCAACUUAGUUAUGACCGGGCCCGGUACAUCGGUCAACACAAAAUCAUCGAUGGGCCCAGAUAUCGCUUCUAAUCCAAGAAGGAACAUAUAAACUUCGACUCAUAUGCUUGUUUUUCUACUUGUUGAAUCAUACAAAAAGGUACAUUUUAUAACAUCGAGUUACCAAUGCGUUUUUCAUACGAUCAAUGUAUAACCAACUCAUAGGAAACAAGUCAUAUCUUUAGGUUUGAAGACUUAUAUGAUACUACCGUCUCACGACCACUCGAGAUAAAUUCCAUGAAGUGAUAUCAGUGAGCGUGGGUUGAAUCCAAUACUCAGAACUUAUGAGCACUCAUGAGUGUUGUAGCACCACUUUGUCCAACAUCUUAGACCUCUACAAUCCAACCCAUGACAGUCUUGAUUCAUAUCUACUUCCAACAUAUAACCGACUGUGGAUGGUUUGGAUAACUUAGUCAUCCAGGAAGAGCGACUUAGUUAUUCUGGAAGUAAAAACAUGCAAAAUGAAACACAAGAAUAAUCGAAUCCAAUAUGGUCUCGGAACUUAUGAAUAUAAAUAAAACAUCUUUUAUUUACCACCAUAUUGAUUACCCAUCAUUCAUUGCAUACGGUUUCAAACUAUCAACUUUAUACUUGAAUUAAAACAAUAGUUAUCCCAUGCUCCAAGCAUGUACACUAUGUUUUUCUAAACACUAGUCAUACCAUACGCCAAGUAUGCACACUAUGUUCUUUCUAUGAUCUUUUCUCUGUGAAAUAGAUCGACUGAACAUAAUUGCAGUGAUACUCAUUUCGCAAUCCCAAAUCCUUACCGCAACUGCAAUAAUUCCAAAUUCCUGCCAUUUACCUAAAUCUGUUUGAUUCUAAACUUAUAUGCAUUCGUCCUCUUGUAAUGAUUAUGCACAAAGUCACAAAGACUUGUCAACAGGCAUUACAGAGUAUUCCAAUGGAGAUCAACUCCAUAGAAACGAAGUCUUAUAUUCAAAGUUCAUUGCCUUUGAACAUUCUUUUUGCAUUAAGUUUCCUAAUCUACACAGAUUUAAUGAAUACUUUCCACCUAUGGGAACAUUUCCAUAUUCCCCUUUUGACUUUUACUCCUAAACAAGAGUUGCCUCUUUUCAGAAUAUGUCAAUAUGGUCCUUCCAAGAUUAACACUAUACUUCCAACUGUCCCUGAGCAACCAAUCUUGGGUAAACCUUAGAUUGUCCUCAACAAUUGCUUAAUCAAAUUAGUCAUAUCUAGUUCUAGUACUUUUCCCUCUUAAUGCUCUGGGCAUUUGGAAAAUUUAGAACAGAUGAAUCUUAUAGCACAUGCAAUCGAUCAUAUAUCCGAAGCAUAUGGGACACGAUUCAUAAAGACAUGAUACUAGACCAGUCUUUUGCUAUAAUAUUUCUAUUUCUAUAUGCCAAGUUCUCAUAAUUUAGAUUAUGAAAAGGGAUGCCAUAAUCAUAAUCGGAUUUUAGAACGCAAAUAAUAGACCCAUAUAGAAUUUCCUUAUGUUGAGCCAUUCCAACAUGAAAUUCAUAUAUAUACCCUUGACUAAAUAUAAUUAAAACCUCAAUCUAAGCUUUUAGAAUUGAAGUGAAGUAUAAUUUCCUCUCCAUUAAUUAUAGCAAAACAAGUUUUUCCAAUUGAAAUCUUUUGUUUUUCUAUAAUUAACGUUGCUAACUUGCAACACUUGUUAUAAUUAUCAUGCUCCCACUUGCAUGAUGAUUAUUAGCAUGAAGCUUAUGCUCCCACUAGCUUUGACAUGUACUCAGAAAUCUGCUGAACUUCUAGAAAUCAAUACUUUAUUGACCUUCUUACCAAAGUUUGUAUUUCUGAUACGAGAUGCUUUUAACAAAACUUUAUCAAAAUCAUACACCUUUCCUUAGAUAGCACACAUGUGUGUCUAAACAAUUUCAGAACUAUGAAAAGGGAUGUUGUAAUCAUAGUCUUAAUUGUUUAGGCAUUUGUCAUUUCUCACAAGUCCAUGUUAGUGUGUCGGUUAACCACACAUGCUCCACUAACGACUUUGAGAAUGUAGAUAUCACAAUUGCUAUCUAGUUAAAAUCUACUUAGUGAAAUUGUUUCCGCACCAUCAUUUUCAUGAAUCGAAGAGAAACCUUAUGACACUUAGAUUUUAUGGUGUAUGUGUUCCUAUCCAUGUGAAUUUGUCAAAACCAUAAUCACAAGACAAGGUUAGUGACAAAUCCAAACUCUUAUGGAUUGAACCUGUGCAGUCUCAACUUUUUGCCACCUAGCAGCACAAGGGCCUGCCAUUGCUUCCAAGUUGUUAUGCAACCAAUUGAGAACUCUCAGAACUCAUAUGCAAAGCCAACUUUAACAAAAAUAAGAAUAUGUCAACACGAUAGGUUAUAAACCUCAAGUCGUGUGCUAGUGAUAAACUAUAUGUUUUUUCCUUCUUGAUUAGAUCUGGAAGUAUUUCCAAGAUCUUUAAGACUCCCACUUUCCUCUUGACAUAUAAGACUCACUUGCCAAAUAUUCAAGAGAUAGUGCAGAUUCUUUAUCAAGACAAAUACUUCACACAAUCAGCCUUAAGUUGGUCUAUGUUUUAUCCAAAACAUCACAACUUACCAAUUUCAAAUGUACAAGAGUGGGACAUACUUUACUCUUACAUUUGACUAGUGUUAUAAACCUUUCUUUAAGAUAUGUCACUCAAGUUACAUUCUUGGAGUAUGACUCUAAGAAUUGUUUUUGGAACGAAGCUUGACUCAUCUUCUUGAUUUAACCAUUUCAACAAUUCUUGAUUCCUCUUCUUAGCCAUAUGAAUGCACUAAGAUGUCUUUAGAGGACCAAUUGUGACAUAGCUUCUUAAUCAUUAAAAUGAACACAAAACAUGAUACUAAAGUACUCUCUCAUCUUUUCAGAUUUGAAAAACUUUUAUCCUUCUGCCUAAUUUGAUUCUUCUCAUCCGUCCUGCUAUACACUGAAAUUUUUUUAAUGUUUCAGAAUUAUACUUAACCUUGUAAGUAUAACCAUAUUUACUAAACCUUAGUAAAUCAUAACGAAUAGUCUUAUCAACCUUUUGUGGUGGACCUUGAUCAGUGCACAAGAAUGUGUAUUCGAUCCCUUGGUCCUUCACUUGACUCUCAUAUACAUGUGAACAAGGAACUAGUCUUAAUUUUCCAAAGCUGAAAGUUCUCAUCCAUCAUACUGUACAACUUGUAUGAUUCCAAGUUUCUAUCCAACUGAAAGCUUGGGUGAUGUGAAACUUUCCUUAUUUGGUAAAUUUAGACACUACCACCAACGAAAGAAUCAAAUUCACAUUUCCAUUAUUGCUAGAAACAUAUAAAGAUCAAUUUUCAAUAAAAGUCAUUGCAAGGAGAUAUAAACUAAAAUAAAACAAAAUUUUAUUUAUUUAUAAAGAUGUGGAAAACUUUUCCUUACAAUGCAACUUGAAAUGAAAAACUAUUCUAUUACAUGUUGUCUAGCAAUCUAUCAUAACCCCUAAGUGGUAACUCAAAAAUCUGCUCUUUAACCAUGCGAUAGAAAUCCAUCUUUGUGAUCAGAUUCGGCAUACUCUUUCUUUAAGUUUCCUUUCCUUUGCUUGAUCCUGCCAAACAUCAAAAUGUAACUUAGUCACAUCAUGUAUUGAUAAUCAACAAUUAGGAACUUAACAAAGUUAGAUAGUGGACUUACCUGAAUUAGAGUCAAACUUUUUGAUUCCUUUCAGAUCCUUCAGGUAGCUAGGACAGCUUCGCUUCCAAUGCCCUUUUUCUUCACAAUGAAAACAUAUAGACUCAUCGGGAAUGGUACAAAAGGCUAUUCCAGACUUAGACUUUCUCU
rnacentral:lncRNA from 1 species